GUGUCAGCCGCCGCGGUAAGACGGAGGGUGCAAGCGUUGCUCGGAAUCAUUGGGCGUAAAGGGUGCGUAGGCGGCCCGCCAAGUCUGCCGUGAAAGCCCAGGGCUCAGCCCUGGAAGGGCGGUAGAAACUGGGGGGCUGGAGUGCCGGAGGGGAGAGUGGAAUUCCCGGUGUAGCGGUGAAAUGCGUAGAUAUCGGGAGGAAUACCGGUGGCGAAAGCGACUCUCUGGACGGCAACUGACGCUGAGGCACGAAAGCGUGGGGAGCAAACAGGAUUAGAAACCCCAGUAGUCC
rnacentral:rRNA from 1 species